GCGGACGUGGCGAAACUGGUAGACGCAAGAGACUUAAAAUCUCUCGGCCUUGGGUCAUGCGGGUUCGAUCCCCGCCGUCCGCACCA
rnacentral:tRNA from 1 species